rnacentral:lncRNA from 1 species
GUCAGACUUGGUGGCGAUCAGGGACAGAUGACUCUUACCGGUAGCCGUUUGCCUAGAUGCUUCUGCCCUUUGGAAGAGAGUCUGUGUGGCUGCCUGAGUUGUCUCCAGUAAAAGACCCUGGAGGGAGUGGCUCAUCAUAGCUAUAAAGAGUGUGUUAUUUUUACCUUUUUUUUUAAGAAUCACUUUUUCUAAGUAUGUCGGAAUGGUUGAACAGACAAAAAGUGAAUACACCAAGCGAACUAGAAAUCUGGAAAGAACCGAAAUAAAGGCAGAGUCUGUUGACACUUUUCUUCAAGAGUCACCUGCUGAACUGCUCAUCACCUCUAUAGAUCCCUCCAGCUAA